GUAGGGAAUCUUCCACAAUGGACGAAAGUCUGAUGGAGCAACGCCGCGUGAGUGAAGAAGGGUUUCGGCUCGUAAAACUCUGUUGUUAAAGAAGAACAUAUCUGAGAGUAACUGUUCAGGUAUUGACGGUAUUUAACCAGAAAGCCACGGCUAACUACGUGCCAGCAGCCGCGGUAAUACGUAGGUGGCAAGCGUUGUCCGGAUUUAUUGGGCGUAACGCGAGCGCAGGCGGUUUUUUAAGUCUGAUGUGAAAGCCUUCGGCUCAACCGAAGAAGUGCAUCGGAAACUGGGAAACUUGAGUGGAGAAGAGGACAGUGGAACUCCAUGUGUAGCGGUGAAAUGCGUAGAUAUAUGGAAGAACACCAGUGGCGAAGGCGGCUGUCUGGUCUGUAACUGACGCUGAGGCUCGAAAGUAUGGGUAGCAAACAGGAUUAGAUACCCUGGUAGUCC
rnacentral:rRNA from 1 species